UACGAGGGGGGCAAGCGUUGUUCGGAAUUAUUGGGCGUAAAGGGCGCGUAGGCGGUGCGGUAAGUCUGAUGUGAAAUCUCCGGGCUCAACUCGGAGUCUGCAUCAGAAACUGCCGUGCUCGAGUGUGGGAGAGGUGAGUCGGAAUUCCGGUGUAGCGGUGAAAUGCGUAGAUAUCGGGAGGAACACCAGUGGCGAAGGCGACUCGCUGGACAGGUAUUGACGCUGAGGUGCGAAAGCGUGGGGAGCAAACAGG
rnacentral:rRNA from 1 species